AUAAGUGCCCGGUCAUCGCCCACCUCUCAUCCACAACUGGCUAGCUUCGAUGAUGCGAGCCAUGGGGGCAUGGGCGCUAUUCGCACCGCCAUGCUCGACGAGCGGGGGGAGGGUGAUUGGGUCCGCCAUGGUUGACUCAUGAAUUGGGUGGAGCUCCAACCUUGGCGGUUGGCCUGGGGAAUCACAGUAGCGCCCUGAUGAUGCCCGUGGUCUUCCCACCCCGGGAAUUGGACCGUGAGCCGCUCAAUUUCUCACCGGGGCAAUGGCGACCGCCGUGGCACCACAUCACAUUGUGGUCGUGACCCUUGAUGCAUAAUCACCGGUCAAGAACAGGUAUUGCAGGAUGAGGCGCAUGGAGGAUGCUGUGAUGAUUCGUGAGAGGUCUAGGCCGUCGUCUCCCAGUCAACUUUGGGUUGGUGGAUCUUUGUCUUCGUAUGAUGUAAUUAUUUAAUUAUUUUGUAUAGAACUCCUAUUAUAUAGUAAAGAUGUGACAUUCGUUUCUGUACCAUGAGUCAUCAUAUAUGUAAGACUUGGUCCUAGC
rnacentral:lncRNA from 7 species